AUAUGAAACAUUUUUUGCAAAAGUUGAUCUCACAGUUGAUGGACUGCUGUGUAGAUAUAAAAUCCAAAGAGGAGGAAAGUGUUCACGUCACCCAAAGAAAGACACAUUAUUCAAUGGAUUCACUUUCCAGUUGGUAUAUGACUGUCACACAGAAGACGGACCCAAAAAUGCUAAGCAAAAAAAGGACUACUUCUAGCCAAUGGCAGUCUCCUCCUGUUGUCGUUAUCUUGAAGGAUAUGGAAAGCUUUGCCACAAAAGUACUACAAGACUUCAUAAUUAUCAGCAGGUAGAUGGUGUAUUACCUGGCUUUUAUGAAAAACUCCCUUUUUAAGAAAAUACUACUUUUAACUUGAAAAGUAUAAUCUUCAUUUUAAUACCAACUGGAUAAAAAUCAAAGUAUUCAAAUUCUUUAUAAUUGAAUAUUCAAAGACUUCCUAUCAGAUUUUCCAUUUGCUUUUUGAGCCAAGAAUGAGAAUCAAAGGCACAUUUAGCCAGUUUUAAAUUGACAUGGUAAGAUAGUAUUAAAUAUGGUUUUUCUCACCAAGAUUGACUGUCUCUUACUCACCCAUUAAAUAGAUAAACUACUCC
rnacentral:lncRNA from 1 species